GACGAACGCUGGCGGCGUGCUUAACACAUGCAAGUCGAGCGGUAAGGCCCUUUCGGGGUACGACGAGCGGCGAACGGGUGGAGUAACAACGUGGGUGGACCUCGCCCGUCCAGCUCUGGGAGUAAGCCCGGGAAACCGUAGGGUCGUAAUACUGGAUAUUACUCUGCGGUGCAUGCCGUCGGGGUGGAAAGCCUUGUGCGGCUGGGGAGUGGGCCCGCGGCCUAUCAGCUUGUUGGUGGGGUGAU
rnacentral:rRNA from 1 species